GUGGCCCGGGGCGCCUCGAGUCCUGCCCUCCGCCCGGAAUCCGCCGGAACGUUGCUCUCCCGAGCUGCCCCCGUGCCCGGGCCGGGUUUGCCGGCGCACGCCGACUUUCCUGAGCCGGCGGGGGCAAAGUUGUGUCCCGCGUGAGGACCCGGCCCAGGGCCGCGCGCCGGGGAGCCGCAGCCAGCCCGGUUUCGGGCGUCGAGUUGGCCGUUUCAUUUGUUUCUUGUCCCUUUGUCUCCUCUCCCCAGGCUGGACUCCCAGGAACGGAGAAAUCUCAGGAGGCUUUAUGGAAAUGCUGGGGAGAAGAGCCCCUCUAAGGUGAACGUGGGCCAGUAAUUGCUGGCUUGUGUUGACUGCCCGUUCUCUUACGCGAUGGCAUGGACCGAAAUGAGAAAUCCGGGUCUGUCGCUGAUUGCAAAGUGAGGGAGAAGCCAGCCACGGACUGAGGGCUGCCCAGCGGAACAUGGACCCCUGUGAAGAUUUGGAGAUGCUCGGCGGGAAGUCUCCUGACCCCAGGCGACUGGUGGCCCAUGAAGAGGCUCUGGGUGGAGAAUCUGAGAUGUGGAGCCCCAAGUUCCAGCUGCAGAGGAAAUACGUGGAGAGCAGCAACAGUGAACAGCAAGAUCGAAAUAGAGUUUCUGAAGAACUUAUAAUGGUUGUCCAAGAAAUGAAGAAAUAUUUCCCAUCAGAGAGACACAGUAAGCCAAGCACUCUAGAUGCCCUCAACUAUGCCCUUCGCUGUGUACACAGUGUGCAAGCAAACAGUGAGUUUUUCCAGAUUCUCAGUCAAAACGGAGCACCUCAGGCAGAUGUGACCAUGUACAGUCUUGAGGAGCUGGCCACUAUUGCUUCAGAACACACUUCCAAAAACACAGAUACCUUUGUGGCAGUGUUUUCAUUUCUGUCUGGAAGGUUAGUGCACAUUUCUGAACAGGCUACUUUGAUCCUGAAUUAUAAGAAAGAUUGGCUGGAGUCCUCUCACUUUGUUGACCUGCUUGCCCCUCAAGACGUGCGGGUGUUCUACAUGCACACUGCCCGAGCUCAGCUCCCCUUUUGGAACAGCUGGACCCAAAGAGCACCGUCACAGUACGACUAUGCUCCUGUGAAAUCCUUCUUCUGCAGGAUCCGUGGAGGGGCAGGCGGAAGACAGCAAGAGAAAUAUUACUCCCCAUUCCGGAUUAUUCCCUACUUGAUUCACGUACAUAGCUCUGCCCACCCAGAGCCGGAACCUUGCUGUCUCACGCUGGCUGAAAAGAUUCACUCUGGUUACGAAGCUCCUAGAAUCCCAGUGGAUAAAAGAAUUUUUACCACAACACACACCCCAGGGUGUGUUUUUCUUGAAGUAGAUGAAAGAGCGGUGCCUUUGCUGGGUUAUCUACCUCAGGACCUGAUCGGAACAUCGAUCUUAACAUACUUGCACCCAGAAGAUCGUUCUCUGAUGGUUGCCAUACACCAAAAAGUCUUGAAGUAUGCAGGCCAUCCUCCCUUUGAACAUUCUCCCAUUAGAUUUCGUACUCAAAAUGGAGAUUACAUCAUAUUGGAUUCCAGUUGGUCCAGCUUUGUGAACCCUUGGAGCCGGAAGGUUUCUUUCAUCAUUGGUCGGCAUAAAGUUCGAACGAGUCCACUAAAUGAAGAUGUUUUUGCUACCAGAAUAAAAAAGAUGAACAGUAAUGACAAAGACAUAACAGAAUUACAACAACAAAUUCACAAACUUCUCUUACAGCCGGUUCACGUGAGCGCUUCCAGCGGCUACGGCAGCCUGGGGAGCAGCGGCUCGCAGGAGCAGCUGGUCAGCGCGGCGUCCUCCAGUGAGGCCAGCGGGCACUGCGCGGGGGAGACGCGGAAGGAGCCGAUGACCUUGCAGCAGGUCUAUGCCAGUGUAAACAAAAUUAAGAAUCUGGGUCAGCAGCUGUACAUUGAGUCCAUGACCGGAUCAUCAGUCAAGCCAGUGACGAGGACACACACAGAACUGCUUGGUGGUGAUGAGCAGAAGGCCUUUUCUUCCUUCCAGACAAUGAAAAAUAAUAGUCUACGUACUGAGUCUUGUGAGGAUUUGAAGAAAGAUGAGCACAGCCCAUCCUAUCAACAGAUAAACUGUAUUGAUAGUGUUAUCAGGUACCUGAAGAGCUACAACAUUCCAGCUUUUAAAAGAAAGUGUAUAUCCUGUGCAAAUACAACUUCUUCAUCCUCAGAAGACGACAAACAGAACCUCAAGCCAGACGAUGUCCAAGCAUUGCAAGCUGUUUCUCAGAUCCCAGCCAUACCUAAGUCGGAAAUGCCAGCAAAUGAAUGGUCCACAGGCGCUGAAGGAGGAGCGCCCCGGACCUUGUCCACCGCGGCGCUGAGCCUGGGCUCGGGCGUCAGCCAGUGCAGUUACAGCAGCACCGCCGUCCAUGUCGCACCCACAGAGCCAGCAGAGGAUGCUACCCUAGCAUGUGAGCCCUGGACCCUAAACACGCAGCCGGUUCCUUUGACCUUGGAAGAGUUCAGAAGUGUAGGGCUCACGAAGGCCGUUCUGUCGGCCCACACCCAGAAGGAAGAACAGAAUUAUGUUGACAAAUUCCGGGAAAAGAUCCUGUCAUCACCCUACAGCUCCUAUCUUCAGCAAGAAAGCAGAAACAAAGCUGAAUAUUCCUAUGUUCAAGGAGAUUCUACUUCCAGGCAGACAAGGUCAGCUGGUUGCAAGAAAGGGAAGCACAAGCGCAAGAAGCUGCCUGCGCCGUUGGGCGGCAGCGGCUCUGAAGCUGGCUCCGGUGCCCAUGCCUGGGGCACGCUUGGGCACACACAGCCAUGGUGCCCUUCCACUGCCUCAUGUCCUCACGCCGCGGGCCUGGCACUCCCGUCUGCUGUGAUGAUUCCCAGCCAGGCCCCUUAUCUCAUCCCAGCUUUUCCCCUCCCAGCCAUGGCCUCUCUGGAAAGAGAAUGUGCAGCGUCAGGAACUGCCCUGGAGUGUCUGCCUGAGCCACCCUCCGGUGGCUUGCAGCCUCUUCCAGCAUUCCCUUCUCCUUACUUGGACACUUUUAUGACCAUUUUCCUGCAUGAACCCGCUGUCUGUCCUCUCUUGUCAUCAUCACUAUUUCCAUAUCCAUUCUUGGGAGCAGCAGGCUCUUCUGAAAUAGCACCCUCAGCAUCAGCAAUGGCUCCAGACUUGGAGUCGCCACCUUCAGUCACCAACCCCAGGGGAGCUGAGGAAGAGUGGGAGACUCGCAGUGGCGAGUACCCGUUCAUUAACUCAAGGAGCAGCUCACCGUUGCAGCUGGACUUACUUCAGGAGGAGAUGCCCAGAUCUUCUGAAGUUUCAGAUCACGUGAAAAGAGAUGUCUGCCCAGAAGCUGAGUAUCAAUGUGUUACAGGCAAGAGUGGGAAUAAGAACGGUUGUCCUGCUGCCAGUGAGCUGUCCACGGUGUUACUGCACGAGGAGACUCCACCUGGAGCUGGUUCUGCAGCAUCAGGAAGCAGUGACAGCAGCAUGUACUUUGCUACUAGCCAUUAUUCUUCUGAAAUAUCCCAAAACGGGCAGCAAUCUCAGGAUGUACAGAAAAAAGAAACAUUUCCCAAUUUAGCUGAAGAGUCCGUCUGGAGGAUGAUACAGCAAACACCUGCGAGCAUCCUAAUGACCUAUCAGGUACCUGAGAGGGUUAAAGAAGUUGUACUAAAAGAAGACCUAGAAAAGCUAGAAAGCAUGAGGCAGCACCAGCCCCACUUUUCUCAAGGGCAAAAGGAGGAACUGGCCAAGGUGUAUUCUUGGCUUCAAAGGCAGAGUAUCCCUCAAGAAAUAGACAUCCAAGAAAGCACUUCUUUCUCCUUUGAGUUUUAUAGCUUUUUAUAAAUGCACCCUGAUAACAAUGAGGAGAAUGGACUUCUUAUCCUUGGUGACUGCUGGGCCCCAGUUCUCCCUGUAGCUCAGAUCUCUGCUCAGAAGAGAUGGAAACUGAGGCACAGGGAGUCAAAUAUCUUGGUCAAAGACUCACAGCUACUUUGUGUUGGCAGUAGGGAUUUGGACCUAGUAAUCUGACACCAGAGUCCCCAUCUAUAAGAAUAAUUGCCUAAUAUCACUAAAAAAGUAGAGAUUCUAGAAUUACACUACAAUGGAAGUCCACUUUUAAGGUUUGUUCUGGAAAGCUUAAAGGGAGCUUUACCAAACCUGUGCUCUGUGAGAGAUGUGUGACGUUUGUUGAACGUCCUGGGCAUUUGUGUCGACACUUGGAGGAACACAUUCUUGGAGAAAAUAAGCCGACACUGCACUGAUUAUUUUCUGUGUGACUUGCUCAGCAUCUUACUUGCAUGUCCUUGUUGGCUCAUCACAAUAACCCUAUGAAGUGGACAGUUUUAUCUUUCCUAUUCACAGAUUAAGAAAUUGGAAUACAGAAAGAUCGAGUAAUUUAAGAUUUUAGUAAGUGAGAAACCAGGAUUUUAAAUUGCACUUGUUAGAAACUAGGAUAAUUACCACCAACCAACCCCCCGCCCCAAUAAAAUCCACUGUGAAAGAGAAAACGCUGAGGUCCCAAGCAGAGCACGACAGUUUCAGGGGGUUGCUGGGGACAGAAAAUGAAGAGGGAAGGUCAGGAGGGAGCAUGCUGGUAACUGAUUUACUUUCUGUGGCUCGUCUUUAUGUUCCACAAUACGGUUUCACCUCAUCUAGUGGCUGAGGCUAGAGAGCAAAUUCAGUAGCAAUAAAAUCAGACAACCUAUGAACACAAGAAUAAUUCUACCUGCUUCCCUGGGAGCAUCGCCUCUUCCAGCACCCAGGGUCCCUGGCAGCCCCUGCAGAAGGGAAGCUCUUUCCAGGUCCUGUAGCGUUAGCCGUGGGUCUUCAUGGGGUGCUGCAGGUAGAAAUAGAUCUGUAGUUUACUCCGUCCUCGACUAGCCAUUUCUGCUCCUGUUGUGUUUGGUGAGCACCAGAGGCAGGGAGAUGAAUACUAGAAACACUUCCAGUGCCAAGUUCAUCAUUUGUCUCUAGGGGUAUUUUGAAAGACAAGAGGAGAUGCCACAGUCCAAUCUGCAAGCCAGCAGGAUAGGACGGCAGGAGACGAAGACCUUGUGCCAACUCUACUGCCCACGUGACUUGCCAGGACACUCGACUGCCUUUGAGCAGAGCCACAGAUCCCUAAAACCUACUGCUGCCUACUGUCUUGUGCUUUCAGAUAUUUAGGUGGUGAAAUUGGAGUCCGAGGAAAAAGAAAGGGAAAGAUUGUUUAUGUUCCUCCUAUAAAGCAAAUAGGGUGGUUAACUUGCAGGACUUUGCAAUUUAGAUACAAUUAUCAUACUUAGAAAAGAGUCAGCUUCAAAAUAAUCUUUAAGGAACUUGACUGUGGCAUUUCCGAUGUAAAAUUUGAUCGGCUAAAUGGCAUAAAGGAUGCAUGGUAGGUGCAUGGUGUGUGCCAGAUGCGUGUGGGUGUGGUAUGUGGAGACUGGGUGUCAGGAUAGGUGUUGGCCAGGUGCCGCUAUGUUGGAAUUGGACGCUGUGGGUGUCAGGACGGGAGGCCACACUCAACACUGCAUGCUGCAGGCUUACGAAAAGCUACAACCUUGAUUGGAGGACAAUAAAAAAACCAUAAAGGCAUCUGGCCACAUUCCCAGUGUUUCUAAAAAAUAUUGAUGAAAAUCUAUGAAAUUCAAUCAUACAUAAAUGCUUAUGUCAUAAAGGCUCAUUUUCAAAUGAAUGAAAAAUCUGGCAAACAUUAUAAGGUAAGCUGCCACCUGUUCACAAUUUGAGUGAGGGGCUACACUCAUUUCAUCUUUUUCAUUAUAAUUAUUAUAUGUGAGUUUUUGAAGAUGACAGUAAUAUCUGAGUAUUCAUUCUUGAUUUUGUUUUGUGAUUUGUCAUUGUUCCUUUAUAAAUAGCAGAGACCCAGUAAGGUUGAUGCCUGUUUUUGACCACGAAGGUGACUGCCGAUAGAAGUGAUUGGUGCUGCGUGAAUGACUAAGUGCUUGAAAAUCAUCACAGAGCUGCUUGGGAUAAACUUUUAGAGCCUAGAUAUUAUAAAAUCAAUGGCUUAGAAAAGUUUUAAUUUAAAAAAAUUCUAAAAGUACCCAAAAUUAAAGACAAAAUUAAAUCCAGUUAAGUUUGAUGCUAAUACUCAAGCAUGGAAAAAAUUACCUACUUGGCUGACAUUUUUUUACAUCCAACUUA